UACGUAGGGUGCGAGCGUUGCCCGGAUUUAUUGGGCGUAAAGGGCGCGUAGGCGGCUCUGCACGUCCGUUGUGAAAUCGCCCGGCUCAACUGGGCGGGGUCAGCGGAUACGGCGGAGCUUGAGCAAGCUAGGGGGCAAUGGAAUUCCCGGUGUAGUGGUGGAAUGCGUAGAGAUCCGGAAGAACACCAGUGGCGAAGGCGAUCAUCUGGGGUUGUUCUGACACUGAGGAGCGAAAGCUAGGGGAGCAAACGGG
rnacentral:rRNA from 1 species